rnacentral:rRNA from 1 species
GAUGAACGCUGGCGGCGUGCUUAACACAUGCAAGUCGAACGGAAAGGCCACAGCUUGCUGUGGUACUCGAGUGGCGAACGGGUGAGUAACACGUGGGUGAUCUGCCCUGUACUUCGGGAUAAGCUUGGGAAACUGGGUCUAAUACCGGAUAGGAGUCACAUGUGGGUGUGUGGUUGGAAAGCUUUUGCGGUAUGGGAUGAGCUCGCGGCCUAUCAGCUUGUUGGUGGGGUAAUGGCCUACCAAGGCGUCGACGGGUAGCCGGCCUGAGAGGGUGUACGGCCACAUUGGGACUGAGAUACGGCCCAGACUCCUACGGGAGGCAGCAGUGGGGAAUAUUGCACAAUGGGCGCAAGCCUGAUGCAGCGACGCCGCGUGGGGGAUGACGGCCUUCGGGUUGUAAACUCCUUUCGUCAGGGACGAAGCGAAAGUGACGGUACCUGGAUAAGAAGCACCGGCUAACUACGUG